GACGAACGCUGGCGGCGUGCUUAACACAUGCAAGUCGAACGGAAAGGCCCUGCUUUUGUGGGGUGCUCGAGUGGCGAACGGGUGAGUAACACGUGAGUAACCUGCCCUUGACUUUGGGAUAACUUCAGGAAACUGGGGCUAAUACCGGAUAGGAGCUCCUGCUGCAUGGUGGGGGUUGGAAAGUUUCGGCGGUUGGGGAUGGACUCGCGGCUUAUCAGCUUGUUGGUGGGGUAGUGGCUUACCAAGGCUUUGACGGGUAGCCGGCCUGAGAGGGUGACCGGCCACAUGGGGGCUGAGAUACGGCCCAGACUCCUAGGGGGGGCAGCAGGGGGAAAUAUUGCACAGUGGGGGGAAGCCUGAGGCAGCAACGCCGGGGGGGGGAUGACGGCUUUCGGGUUGAAACCCGCUUUCGCCUGGGAAGAAGCGGGAGUGACGGUAGUGGGUAAAGAAGCACCGGCUAACUACGUG
rnacentral:rRNA from 1 species